CCCAAAGAAAUCUCCAUUUGCCAAUGCCAAAAUUGUACAGCUCUCCUUGGUUGUUUGGUAUAUUUUGUUCGUCUAGAAAAUGUCUGGUUUUAAGAUUUCAAGCCAGUUUUGUUACUAAUUUAAGAAUUGCUUAUUUUUUUAUUCAAAUUUAGAAUCUCAUUUCGAAUGAAAUCAUUCAUUUUAUUUUAAUAUAUAAUGAUUUGUGUGUAGGAAGACGAAGUCAAAAGUAAAAUAUUUUCAAUGAAAACAAUUGGGACAAGGAGACAGGGGCGAGAGGGAGACAGAUAUAGAAACAUGUUUUGCGUUUAUUGAAAGAAUGAUCUAAAAUUAGAAAAAUAUUUAUCACCGAAAUUAAAAUUUAACGAAACAACUUAAUCCCAAAUAGAUAAUCUUCUGUUUUUCAAAUGUGUUAAGUAUCGUUGUGCGUACAAUUCAAAUGUUUGUAAAGCAUCACAAAUUAUAUUUACAAAGUUUUAAAUGAUAUUUGGUUAUGUUAUUAUACUGUUACGCGUGCGUAUACCAUAUGGUGCUGAAGUUAAUUCGAUUUUGGAUUGGAUUUGAUAAAAGCAAUCGACUGUCAUUUCAUAUUAUUAGUAGUCGUGUGAUGACAUUAUCUUGUUUUAAAUGCAAUAGAAAUUUAUAGCCUCUAUUUAUUUUUAGAAAUGUUUUACUUUAUUUUAUUUAAGACUUUUGUAAACACACAGUAGAAAGAAACACAGGCGUCUGUUGUGUUAUAGAAGAUAAUGUGUACUUAAGUUAUACACUAUUUAAAAGAAACAAAAAAAAAGUAAAAAAUUGAAAGGCUGAAAAUAAAAAUAUAUUUAUAUAAUUGGUAAAUUAAAAUUAUUCGUACAACGGCAUAAUGUCUUUUUUAUAUUAUAUUAAAUCACUAACAAAUAUUAUUCAUAGUAACAUAUUGGUCCAAGUUGAAAAAUAAAA